rnacentral:rRNA from 1 species
AUGCACGCUGGCGGCGUGCCUAAUACAUGCCAGUCGAGCGAACAGACGAGGAGCUUGCUCCUCUGACGUUAGCGGCGGACGGGUGAGUAACACGUGGAUAACCUACCUAUAAGACUGGGAUAACUUCGGGAAACCGGAGCUAAUACCGGAUAAUAUAUUGAACCGCAUGGUUCAAUAGUGAAAGACGGUUUUGCUGUCACUUAUAGAUGGAUCCGCGCCGCAUUAGCUAGUUGGUAAGGUAACGGCUUACCAAGGCAACGAUGCGUAGCCGACCUGAGAGGGUGAUCGGCCACACUGGAACUGAGACACGGUCCAGACUCCUACGGGAGGCAGCAGUAGGGAAUCUUCCGCAAUGGGCGAAAGCUUGACGGAGCAACGCCGCGUGAGUGAUGAAGGUCUUCGGAUCGUAAAACUCUGUUAUUAGGGAAGAACAAAUGUGUAAGUAACUAUGCACGUCUGGACGGUACCUAAUCAGAAAGCCACGGCUAACUACGG